rnacentral:lncRNA from 1 species
UGAAAAACCGCAAAUCGGUUCUAAGCGGUGGAAGAACCUUCUAGCGCUUAAGAGGAAAUUUAAGCGGAUUAACAAUAUACAAUUAAAUAUUUAGUUACAAUAAUAAUAUAUUCAAAAAUAAUAUUAUAUUGCGGUAAGAAUUCAAAUUUGUAAUAAUUUUAAUGAUAUAUAUACAUAGAGUCAUACUCCAGUGAGAACCAAUUUUAUGAUGAGAUAUGAGAUCUAAUCUCAGCCACUCAUUUAAAUACAUUAUAUUCAUCUCUUACCAUUCAUUUAAUAUUUUAAUAUUUCACCAUCUUCUAAUUCAACUACCUAUCUCCUUCAACCACCGUUGACCACCACCACCAGCUCCGGCGACCACCAGAAAACCACUGCCGGCAAACAUAAAAUCACCACCGGAAAACAUAAAAUCACCACCAAAAAAUCAAAAAUCACCGCCAAAAAAUCAAAAAUCAACGCCAGAAAAUUAAAAUCACCACACCACCAUCAGCUACAAACCACCACCGCCACCCCCCAAAUCCGAAAAAUCACCAAAUACAAAACAAAAUGACCAUCAGAAAAAAUAAAAAACACAACUGAAAAUCAUCAUUUUCAAUUCAUCAGCUUCCUCACUAUCUCUCUCAACCUCCUCUCUCUCUCUCCACAUCCACACGCUCUCUCUCAUUCACUACAUCCAACCUCUAUUUCUGCCCAUAUCCAUCAUUAACUCCGACCAUAACAAAAAUUACUAUAUUAAUUGUAAAGCAUCACAAACAAACACCAUCGACAAAAUGAAAUCACCACCGUAAAAACAAAAAUCACCGAACCUCCGCCAAUACCAUCUCUAGAUCGGAGUAUCGAAAUCGGAGAUGAUGUGGAUCGACGAUGAAUAGAGAAGAAACAAAAUGAAAGAAUAAGGAUGGGGCUUUUAGAGGGGAGGAAGUAGUCGUGUUUCUGGAGAGAGAGAUCUGUGUUUUUUGUGUGCGUGGCUGGAGACGAGGUCGUCGCCUCGACUACGACGAUGUUGUAGAUCUGGUGGUUGCAUAGCAGCAGCAAUAACGGGUAGUGACGGAUGGCAGUAGAGGGUGGAGGUGGGCAGUGGAGGGGGGGAGGGAAGAGGGAGAGUGUAAUAAAAGAAAAUGUUAAAAUAUAAAUGCGUGGUUGUGAUUUGAUUUAGGGAUAAAAAUGUGGGGCUGAGAUUAGAUCUCAUAUCU